rnacentral:rRNA from 1 species
CCUACGGGAGGCAGCAGUGAGGAAUCUUCGUCAAUGGACGAGAGUCUGAACCAGCCAAGUCGCGUGAGGGAUGACGGCCCUAUGGGUGGUAAGCUUCUUUUAUAUGGGAGUAAAAUAGUCCACGUGUCUGACUUUGUUUGUACCAUAUGAAUAAGGAUCGGCUAACUCCGCUCCAGCAGCCGCGGUAAUACGGAGGAUCCGAGCUUUAUCCGGAUUUGUUGGGUUUAAAGGGAGCGUAGGUGGUUUGUUAAGUCAGUUGUGAAAGUUUGCGGCUCAACCGUAAAAUUGCAGUUGAAACUGGCAGUCUUGAGUACAGUAGAGGUGGGCGGAAUUCGUGGUGUAGCGGUGAAAUGCUUAGAUAUCACGAAGAACUCCGAUUGCGAAGGCAGCUCACUGGACUGCAACUGACACUGAGGCUCGAAAGUGUGGGUAGCAAACAGGAUUAGAUACCCUAGUAGUC